UGACACUGUUGUAGGAUGUGAGCCGUCG
rnacentral:sRNA from 1 species